AUUGAACGCUGGCGGCAGGCCUAACACAUGCAAGUCGAACGGUAACAGGAAACAGCUUGCUGUUUCGCUGACGAGUGGCGGACGGGUGAGUAAUGUCUGGGAAACUGCCUGAUGGAGGGGGAUAACUACUGGAAACGGUAGCUAAUACCGCAUAACGUCGCAAGACCAAAGAGGGGGACCUUCGGGCCUCCUGCCAUCGGAUGUGCCCAGAUGGGAUUAGCUAGUAGGUGGGGUAACGGCUCACCUAGGCGACGAUCCCUAGCUGGUCUGAGAGGAUGACCAGCCACACUGGAACUGAGACACGGUCCAGACUCCUACGGGAGGCAGCAGUGGGGAAUAUUGCACAAUGGGCGCAAGCCUGAUGCAGCCAUGCCGCGUGUAUGAAGAAGGCCUUCGGGUUGUAAAGUACUUUCAGCGGGGAGGAAGGGAGUAAAGUUAAUACCUUUACUCAUUGACGUUACCCGCAGAAGAAGCACCGGCUAACUCCGUG
rnacentral:rRNA from 1 species